rnacentral:rRNA from 1 species
AUUGAACGCUGGCGGCAUGCCUUACACAUGCAAGUCGAACGGCAGCACGGGAGCAAUCCUGGUGGCGAGUGGCGAACGGGUGAGUAAUAUAUCGGAACGUGCCCAGUAGUGGGGGAUAACUGCUCGAAAGAGCAGCUAAUACCGCAUACGACCUGCGGGUGAAAGGGGGGGAUCGCAAGACCUCUCGCUAUUGGAGCGGCCGAUAUCAGAUUAGCUAGUUGUUGGGGUAAAGGCCUACCAAGGCAACGAUCUGUAGUUGGUCUGAGAGGACGACCAGCCACACUGGGACUGAGACACCGCCCAGGGGCCUACGGGAGGCAGCAGUGGGGAAUUUUGGCCAAUGGGCGCAAGACUGAUCCAGCAAUGCCGCGUGUCGGAAGAAGGCCUUCGGGUUGUAAACUGCCUUUGUCAGGGACGAAAUCCUCUAGGUUACUCCCCUUGGGCGGCUGCCGGUACCGUAAGAAUAAGCACCGGCUAACUACGUGCCAGCAGCCGCAGUAACAC